UCAUCGGUGGUUCAGUGGUAGAAUGCUCGCCUGCCACGUGGGCGGUCCGGGUUUGAUUCCCGGCCAAUGCA
rnacentral:tRNA from 1 species